UUAAGGUUUUGAUCAAAAAAGAUAAAGUGAACCUUUAUCUAGUUAUAGUUCCACCUAUAGCUAAAUUUUCAAAUUGCGGGAAAGUCUUAAAGACAAAUCUACCAAAUUAACAUAGUAAUAUAGUUAAUGGCAUAGGUAAUGACUCAUGGUAUGGUAAAAACGAUUUGUAUAUAUAGAUUAUCUGCAGCCAAUCACCUCCAUAGGUGUGCAGUUCAUCGACUAAACGGAAAUUGGUUUAUUUUUAAUAAGCUUAAGAUAUAGUCAGUCUCAAUGUGAAAAUAUUGG
rnacentral:ncRNA from 1 species